rnacentral:rRNA from 1 species
UACGGGGGGAGCAAGCGUUGUUCGGAUUUACUGGGCGUAAAGGGCGCGUAGGCGGCGUGACAAGUCACUUGUGAAAUCUCCGGGCUUAACUCGGAACGGUCAAGUGAUACUGUCGUGCUAGAGUACAGAAGGGGCAACUGGAAUUCUCGGUGUAGCGGUGAAAUGCGUAGAUAUCGAGAGGAACACCUGAGGCGAAGGCGGGUUGCUGGGCUGAUACUGACGCUGAGGCGCGAAAGCCAGGGGAGCAAACGGG